UGCAGAAUCCCGUGAACCAUCGAGUCUUUGAACGCAAGUUGCGCCCUAAGCCUUUUGGCCGAGGGCACGUCUGCCUGGGUGUUACAAAUCGUCGUCCCCAUCCUUUGCGGAUAUAGGACGGAAGCUGGUCUCCCGUGUGUUACCGCACGCGGUUGGCCAAAAUCUGAGCUGAGGACGCCUUGGAGCCUCUCGACAUGCGGUGGUGAAAUAAAGCCUCGUCAAUUCGUCGGUUGCUCCAGUCUAAAUGCUCUUGAUGACCCAAAAUUCUUGACGCGACCCCAGGUCAGGCGGGAUCACCCGCUGAGUUUAAGCAUAUCAAUAAGCGGAGGAGAAGAAACUAACAAGGAUUCCCUUAGUAACGGCGAGCGAACCGGGAAGAGCCCAGCUUGAAAAUCGGACGUCUUCGGCGUUCGA
rnacentral:rRNA from 1 species